GACGAACGCUGGCGGCGUGCUUAACACAUGCAAGUCGAACGGUGAACCAGAGCUUGCUCUGGGGAUCAGUGGCGAACGGGUGAGUAACACGUGGGCAACCUGCCCCAGACUCUGGGAUAACCUCGGGAAACCGAUGCUAAUACCGGAUACGACCACUUCGGACAUCCGACGGUGGUGGAAAGUUUUUCGGUCUGGGAUGGGCCCGCGGCCUAUCAGCUAGUUGGUGGGGUAAUGGCCUACCAAGGCGACGACGGGUAGCCGGCCUGAGAGGGCGACCGGCCACACUGGAACUGAGACACGGUCCAGACUCCUACGGGAGGCAGCAGUGGGGAAUAUUGCACAAUGGGCGAAAGCCUGAUGCAGCGACGCCGCGUGAGGGACGACGGCCUCGGUUGUAACGU
rnacentral:rRNA from 1 species